rnacentral:rRNA from 1 species
CCUACGGGAGGCUGCAGUGGGGAAUAUUGCACAAUGGGGGAAACCCUGAUGCAGCGACGCCGCGUGAGUGAAGAAGUAAUUCGUUAUGUAAAGCUCUAUCAGCAGGGAAGAAAAUGACGGUACCUGAGUAAGAAGCCACGGCUAACUACGUGCUAGCAGCCGCGGUAAUAAGUAGGGGGAAAGCGUUAUCCGGAUUUACUGGGUGUAAAGGGAGCGUAGACGGCAGUGCAAGUCUGGAGUGAAAGGCGGGGGCUCAACCCCCGGACUGCUCUGGAAACUGUACGGCUGGAGUGCAGGAGAGGUAAGUGGAAUUCCUAGUGUAGCGGUGAAAUGCGUAGAUAUUAGGAGGAACACCAGUGGCGAAGGCGGCUUACUGGACUGUAACUGACGUUGAGGCUCGAAAGCGUGGGGAGCAAACAGGAUUAGAUACCCCUGUAGUC